AGAGGGUGCAAGCGUUAAUCGGAAUUACUGGGCGUAAAGCGCACGUAGGUGGGAAACUAAGUUAGAUGUGAAAUCCCCGGGCUUAACCUGGGGUGGUCAUUUAACACUGGUUACCUAGAGUAUAGGAGAGGGGAGUGGAAUUUCCGGUGUAGCGGUGAAAUGCGUAGAGAUCGGAAGGAACACCAGUGGCGAAGGCGGCUCUCUGGCCUAAUACUGACACUGAGGUGCGAAAGCGUGGGGAGCGAACAGGAUUAGAUACCCCGGGUAGUCCACGCUGUAAACGAUGAAUACUAGCUGUUGGGACCCCUAUGAGGUCUUAGUGGCGUAGCUAACGCGCUAAGUAUUCCGCCUGGGGAGUACGACCGCAAGGUUA
rnacentral:rRNA from 1 species